rnacentral:rRNA from 1 species
CAAUAGCGUAUAUUAAAGUUGUUGCAGUUAAAAAGCUCGUAGUUGGAUUUCUGCUGAGGACGAUCGGUCCGCCCACUGGGUGAGUAUCUGGCUCGGCCUUGGCAUCUUCUUGGAGAACGUUGCUGCACUUGACUGUGUGGCGCGGUAUCCAGGACUUUUACUUUGAGGAAAUUAGAGUGUUUCAAGCAGGCGCACGCCCUGAAUACAUUAGCAUGGAAUAAUGAGAUAGGACCUUGGUUCUAUUUUGUUGGUUUCUAGAGCUGAGGUAAUGAUUAAUAGGGAUAGUUGGGGGCAUUCGUAUUUAACUGUCAGAGGUGGAAUUCUUGGAUUUGUUAAAGACGGACUACUGCGAAAGCAUUUGCCAAGGAUGUUUUCAUUGA